rnacentral:rRNA from 1 species
UACGGGGGGAGCAAGCGUUGUUCGGAUUUACUGGGCGUAAAGCGUGCGCAGGCGGUUCGUUGUGUCUGAUGUGAAAGCCCCGGGCUUAACCUGGGAAUGGCAUUGGAAACUGGCGAGCUGGAGUGUGGCAGAGGGGGGUGGAAUUCCGCGUGUAGCAGUGAAAUGCGUAGAGAUGCGGAGGAACACCGAUGGCGAAGGCAGCCCCCUGGGCUGACACUGACGCUCAGGCACGAAAGCGUGGGGAGCAAACAGG